UACGUAGGGCGCAAGCGUUAUCCGGAAUUAUUGGGCGUAAAGAGCUCGUAGGCGGUUUGUCGCGUCUGCUGUGAAAACUCAGGGCUUAACCCUGAGCUUGCAGUGGGUACGGGCAGACUAGAGUGCGGUAGGGGAGACUGGAAUUCCUGGUGUAGCGGUGAGAUGCGCAGAUAUCAGGAGGAACACCGGUGGCGAAGGCGGGUCUCUGGGCCGUAACUGACGCUGAGGAGCGAAAGCAUGGGGAGCGAACAGG
rnacentral:misc_RNA from 1 species